rfam:Actinospica robiniae DSM 44927 genomic scaffold ActroDRAFT_ARA.1, whole genome shotgun sequence.
GGUGACGUGUCCGAGCGGCCUAAGGAGAACGCCUCGAAAGCGUUUGUGGUGCAAGCCACCGGGGGUUCAAAUCCCCCCGUCACCG